CAUACGAAGAUAACGGUAGGUUUGUGUUUUUUUGGUUGCGGAAGAAAUUGGAUUUACAAAUGGAAUUAUAAAUGUUUUAAGGAAAUUUACAGAUAGUUUCGAGUUUCUCGAGUAAGAACUUGGAUUGUAGUAAAGGAGAACUAAAGUAAAACUUGCUUAUCCGUUUAAUCUUCUAUCUAAGCUGUUCAGCCUCGGGUCGCGUGUACUUUUAGCCUGAACACGGAAGUAGAGUGAAUAUGUCAUGAUGUGCCAAAGAAGUACCAGUACUCACAGUAGCUCUUUGGAUGUUCAUAUAACGUGGAAAUCUAGGAAAAAUCAAAUGUUAGAUGUCAGGUCAUCUAAGUGCAAUCAGAUGAUGUUAUUCAACAUGCUGUGGCUGCAUUGAACUAGAAGUCAUUUCAGGAACAGAAUCCAGGGAUCAUAAGAGAAAUUUAUGUAUGUAUAGCCAAUGAUGAUGAUACCUGCUGGCCAAUCACUGCCAAAGAAUAACCUAUUCACAGAAAUAUGGCAUCUUUCACACAUAUGGAAUGGAACAUUUUUGCCAAGAUGCUACAUAAACUCUGACACCGAGAAUAUGGCACCUUUCCCACAUAUGGAAUGGAAAAUUUUUUCCAAGACGCUACAUAAACUCUGACACCGAGAAUAUGGCACCUUUCACACAUAUGGAAUGGAACAUUUUUGCCAAGACGCUACAUAAACUCUGACACCGAAAAUAUGGCACCUUUCACACAGUCAUAUGGAAUGGAACAUUUUUGCAAAGACGCAACAUAAACUCUGACACCGAACGUACAUUACGACUAGUAGGACAAUAAUGGUAACAUAAAUUACACCAUGUUAAAAACUCUUGUCUUCGGUAUUGCUGCAGCCGGUCAGAAUUUGGAUUUAAUAAAUGUAUUUCAUGAAGUCACUUACAGGACAGUACCUAUUGUCAAAUUAACUGUGUCAUAUGACAUAAGCCCUGCUAAGUCAUUACUAACACUAAGUCUUGUCAACAAAUAUAUUUAUUGCUUAGACUUUAUGAUUUGAUUUUUGUCGAAAAACAUAUGCAUAAUUUCUGCAGCAGAUCCUAGACUAGUGCAAUAUUAUUCUGAGAAAGAACAAAUUCAUAUUUCUGCAUGCAAAGCUAAUUUUCAUUACAUACACAGAGUUAGAUCUAAUCUUAGAAUUAUUCUGGUAGAUGAAAUAAAUAAGUUCUUUAACCAAAGUAAAAUUGAAAAUUUUGAUAUUAAAAGAUCGAAACAGUGAUGUCGGUCACACAUUAAACCGGAAUCCACCUAAAAACCGGAAUACACCGGAAUACACUUUGCAUAACCGGAAUACACCUGUAUUUUUUAAUUUAAAGGUAUUUCUGAAGUGUUUUUGAUAUAAUUCAAUCAUAUUUAUCAUAAAUAAUUAAAAUACGAAAGGAAAAUAAAAUACGUUCACGCAAAAUAAUUUUAUACGAGAUUGAAGUUUGGCGUCCGCGCCGGAAAUUUCCAUAACCGAAAUACACCCGUAUUCAAUAAUAAAUGGUAUUUUUGUAGGGGCUAUUGCAGAAAACAUUCGAGUAUAAUAUAAAAUAAUUAGUUUACAAAAGGAAAAUGAAAUACUUUAACGCAAAACGAUUUUAUACGAGAUUGAAAUUCGGCGAGCUUACGGAAAUGUUGCACGCUUACGUCGCUGUGACUAGAUACCGGAAUGUUGAUUAUUGGAAAUUAUUUAAUAGUUUCUUCACAUUUCAUGAUGUUACAAAUGACGUCACGUACCCGAUACGAAAAUUGCAUGCCAGUACUGUAAAACCUGCUUAAGCGGUCACCUCUAAUUAGCAGCCAACCUGUCUUAAGCAGCCUGUGUCUCUAUCAUUUCCCAAAAUGGUCAUUUAUUCUAUAAAUUACCUGCAUUAAGCAGCCACCUGCUGUAAACAGCCACUUAUCCCAACACCCUUGGCUGGCUGUUUAAGACAGGUUUUACUGUAUGGAAAAAUGUUGAUGUAUGUAAUUCGCAUUCGCCACUUGGAAGAGUAUAAAUAUGAGUAUGUAAUUCAGGUAUUGAUGUUUUCAAGCUUCUGUUUGAUUUGUCAGUUUGUAAUUUCUUUACUUUUCAAAUAUUACACAUCAUUCUAAAAUUCUUGAGUUGAGGUAGUAGGAACUUUUAUUCUGGAAUUCACUUUUAGACUGGUGUAUCCAGUGCCUGGCUUAUUUUCAUGUUGAAUGAUUCUAUACAGAUAUUUAUGUCGGAACAAUGCUGAAUUACCUGACGAUAUUAGUCGACAAGCGAGUAGGGAUAUUGCCCAUAUGAAAAAAUUAUCUCAAUAUUUCCUAGGAUGGCGUCAAAUCACUUGGACUACUGACUAUAUAUAUAUAAUCACACGGAAAUGGCAGUCAUUCCGUGUGUACUACAUUAUGACACAGUUGUAAAUGAUGAUGAUUAUUGUUGUUUGAACUUGCUGUAAAAUUGGAGCACUUGCACUUUAGCGGUCCCUAUAAUAAUAGUAGUUUAAUAAUGUCUUAAAUAUUAAAAGUUAAAAGAGGUAACUUUAUUUUCAGAUGAAUAUGUUUGGGGGCUGCCGCCCCCACAUCUCUGCUUUGCCCCACAUCCCCAACUUGCUGCGCAUGCGCAUUGUAAACUUCCAGGGACCACUAAAGUGCAUUCUACCCGUAAAAUUUAUUAUUCUAACACGAUCCGAUUCAUUUUCCUAUUAAACAAAGAAGACAGAAAACAGUGAAUUAUUAUACAACAAAUCACUGUUCUGAUGUCACAGUUAUUACGUCAUGGCGUCAAACGGCAUAGCGGCGCACUGGAAAAGAAACGGGCAAAUAUUUAAUGAAUGUCAGCAAGAAUCCUUGGUAACGUGUUAGAAUUGAAAUAAUACAUCUCAAUUAGUGAUUUGCUCUUGAAUAAAUCAUUGUUUGUCGUUCAGAUGCGUAUUAUUAUAUCAUUCGGGCUGCGCCCUCGUGAUACAAUUCCUUCGCAUCUGAACUCCAAACAAUGAUUUAUUCAACGACAAAUCACUGGAUGAGAUAUAUAAUUUCUUAAUUAUUUUUUAUUAUAUUGAUUUAUUUCAAAUUUACAACAUUUCACCGAGCACUGGAAUACACCUCGCGGCAAGUGCUGGUUUGACCGCUCUUAGUUGAAUUAAUUUUGUAUUUUAAAUUUGUUUUUAAAGAAAACUCCUGUUAAACUUUUUUUGCUGUUAUAUUCAUUUUAAAAAUACAAUUGUUGUUGUCAAUGUUUUUUAAUCCAGUCUUGAAAUUUGCUCACUGCAGUGCAGUAGGCUACUGUAUUGUUAUUAUUAGAAAUAAAUUUAUGAAGUGAUA